AGUCAGAUGAGAUUACCCGCUGAACUUAAGCAUAUA
rnacentral:rRNA from 1 species